UACGGGGGGGGCAAGCGUUGUUCGGAAUUACUGGGCGUAAAGCGCACGUAGGCGGAUUUGCCAGUCAGGGGUGAAAUCCCGGGGCUCAACCUCGGAACUGCCUUUGAUACAGCAAGUCUUGAGUUCGAGAGAGGUGGGUGGAAUUCCUAGUGUAGAGGUGAAAUUCGUAGAUAUUAGGAAGAACACCGGUGGCGAAGGCGGCCCACUGGCUCGACACUGACGCUGAGGUGCGAAAGCGUGGGGAGCAAACAGG
rnacentral:rRNA from 1 species